GACGAACGCUGGCGGCGUGCUUAACACAUGCAAGUCGAACGGAAAGGCCCCUUUGGGGGUACUCGAGUGGCGAACGGGUGAGUAACACGUGAGUAACCUGCCCUUGACUUCGGGAUAACUUCAGGAAACUGGGGCUAAUACCGGAUAGGAAUCCUUGCUGCAUGGUGGGGGUUGGAAAGCUUCGGCGGUUUUGGAUGGACUCGCGGCUUAUCAGCUUGUUGGUGGGGUAGUGGCUUACCAAGGCUUUGACGGGUAGCCGGCCUGAGAGGGCGACCGGCCACAUUGGGACUGAGAUACGGCCCAGACUCCUACGGGAGGCAGCAGUGGGGAAGAUUGCACAAUGGGCGGAAGCCUGACGCAGCAACGCCGCGGGCGGGAUGACGGCCUUCGGGUUGUAAACCGCUUUCAGCAGGGGCGAAGCUUGUGGUGACGGUACCUGCAGAAGAAGCACCGGCUAACUACGUG
rnacentral:rRNA from 1 species